AGAGUUUGAUCAUGGCUCAGGACAAACGCUGGCGGCGUGCCUAACACAUGCAAGUCGAACGCGCUUCGCAAGAAGCGAGUGGCGGACGGGUGAGUAACACGUGGGAACCUACCCGGCGGUGAGGAAUACCGGCGAGAAAUCGCCGACAAGACCGCAUAGGCUCGGCUUCUGGCCAAGCAAAGCGCCUCUUCGGAGGGGCG
rnacentral:rRNA from 1 species